GCACGCUGGGGCCGGUGUGCAUGUCCGCCCGACGGAAAGCCUUAACGCCCCCUGCAAUCUCCACCUUGAACUUUCGGGUUCAAGGGCUACACCGAUAGCGGUCUUAUCGGGGAGCCU
rnacentral:sRNA from 1 species